UACGAAGGGGGGCUAGCGUUGCUCGGAAUCACUGGGCGUAAAGGGCGCGUAGGCGGCCACCGCAAGUCGACUGUGAAAUCUCCGGGCUUAACCCGGAAAGGUCAGCCGAUACUGCGGGGCUAGAGUGCAGAAGGGGCAACUGGAAUUCUCGGUGUAGCGGUGAAAUGCGUAGAUAUCGAGAGGAACACCUGCGGCGAAGGCGGGUUGCUGGGCUGACACUGACGCUGAUGCGCGAAAGCGUGGGGAGCAACAGG
rnacentral:rRNA from 1 species